CGGGGUAAAUUUCAGCUGUAAUGU
rnacentral:rRNA from 1 species